AUCUUCUUAGUAUAACCAGUACAACUGACUUCCAAUCAGCAAGAUCCGAAUAACAACGGAAGAAGAUA
rnacentral:tRNA from 1 species